AUUGAACGCUGGCGGAAUGCUUUAUACAUGCAAGUCGAACGGUAGAGGGGGCAACCCCUCGAGAGUGGCGAACGGGUGAGUAAUAUAUCGGAGCAUGCCCAGUCGUGGGGGAUAACGUAGCGAAAGUUACGCUAAUACCGCAUACGAUCUAAGGAUGAAAGCGGGGGAUCGCAAGACCUCGCGCGAUUGGAGCGGCCGAUAUCAGAUUAGGUAGUUGGUGGGGUAAAGGCUCACCAAGCCAACGAUCUGUAGCUGGUCUGAGAGGACGACCAGCCACACUGGAACUGAGACACGGUCCAGACUCCUACGGGAGGCAGCAGUGGGGGAUUUUGGACAAUGGACGCAAGUCUGAUCCAGCCAUUCCGCGUGCAGGAUGAAGGCCCUCGGGUUGUAAACUGCCUUUGUACGGAACGAAAAGGUCUCUCUUAAUACGGGGGACUCAUGACGGUACCGUAAGAAUAAGCACCGGCUAACUACGUGCCAGCGGCCGCAGUAAAAC
rnacentral:rRNA from 1 species